CCGUCGAUAGCUCAGUUGGCAGAGCGGUGGACUGUAGAUCCAUAGGUCGCUGGUUCGAUUCCGGCUCGACUGA
rnacentral:tRNA from 1 species